CAAGGAAUAGUUUAUGUAGAAUCUUAGCUUUGGGUGCUGAGGGUGAGGCGUAAUGCUUCUUCCUUGA
rnacentral:tRNA from 1 species